CCUACGGGAGGCAGCAGUGAGGAAUAUUGGACAAUGGGCGCAAGCCUGAUCCAGCCAUGCCGCGUGCAGGAUGACGGUCCUAUGGAUUGUAAACUGCUUUUAUACGAGAAGAAACACUCCGACGUGUCGGAGCUUGACGGUAUCGUAAGAAUAAGGAUCGGCUAACUCCGUGCCAGCAGCCGCGGUAAUACGGAGGAUCCAAGCGUUAUCCGGAAUCAUUGGGUUUAAAGGGUCCGUAGGCGGUUUAAUAAGUCAGUGGUGAAAGCUCAUCGCUCAACGGUGGAACGGCCAUUGAUACUGUUAAACUUGAAUUAUUAGGAAGUAACUAGAAUAUGUAGUGUAGCGGUGAAAUGCUUAGAGAUUACAUGGAAUACCAAUUGCGAAGGCAGGUUACUACUAAUUGAUUGACGCUGAUGGACGAAAGCGUGGGUAGCGAACAGGAUUAGAUACCCUGGUAGUCCACGCCGUAAACGAUGGAUACUAGCUGUUGGGAGCAAUCUCAGUGGCUAAGCGAAAGUGAUAAGUAUCCCACCUGGGGAAGUACGUUCGCAAGAAUUGAAAACCUANAAAGUUGAGUAGAGGNGNGAGAGNGCGACGACGACGACGAGGAGGAGG
rnacentral:rRNA from 1 species